UAGAAAAUUAGUUUUUUUAGGCGUUUUGUGAAUGUAUUUUGGGUGGUUCAUUUUAUAAAACCGCCCAGAAUCUUUAUUAUAUAUUUUUUUUACUAUAAAACCGCCCAGAUUAUAUGUAAAAGCGCCCAAAAAACCUUUUUUAUUAUUUUUGAUUGUUUAUUGAAUCAUUUUUGGGCGGUUAACACUACAAAACCGCCUAGAAUAUGUGUAAAAUCGCCCAAAAAACGUUUUAUCAUUUUUUAUUGUUUACUUUAGGCGAAUUUACAACAAACUACCUACGAAUCUUACUCUCCACCUCCCACUUUCAAACAAAAUAUCAAAAUCAGGUGCCCUAAUUUCUUCCUCUCAUCAUUUUCUUUUUCUCUGUUCAAUCCUCCAUCAAUAUCAAGAUAUAACUGAAUUAUUCUGACCUUUUUUGUUCAUCAUUCAAAGAAGUAAAGAUGGAAGAUAGAGAAUAUUGGAUGUACAAAAGUGGGCGUCCUUCUGAAAUAUAUACGCAAGGCGUUUUUACUUUUCUUAGGGUUGCUGAAGC